UAAGACCCCGCGGUAUACCGUAUUAUUGUAGUACCGCCCAACCCUACUGCACAUAUGUAUGUCUCCUCUGUGUGUG